AUACAGUGAUGGUAAUAUUUGUCAUUCACCAAGUGAGUGUUGAUACUUUGGAUCUGAGUGA
rnacentral:snoRNA from 1 species